rnacentral:miRNA from 1 species
UGAGUACGUAGUAGGGAUGAG